rnacentral:rRNA from 1 species
CCCGUCACAUCACGAAAGUGAGUUGUACUAGAAGUCGUCACGCUGACCGCAAGGAGGCAGACGCCCAAGGUAUGACUCAUGAUUGGGGUG